GACGAACGCUGGCGGCGUGCCUAACACAUGCAAGUCAGGGAGAAUGGGGUAGCAAUAUCCCUAGUAAACCGGCGCAAGGGUGAGUAACACGUAAGCAAUCAGCCUUUUGGACGGGAAUAACUUCGAGAAAUCGAGGCUAAUACCCGAUAAUGCAGCGGCAUCGCAUGAUGACAGUUGUUAAAGGCCGUAAGGUGCCAAAAGAUGAGCUUGCGUCCCAUUAGCUUGNGGCGGGUAACGCCACAAGGCGACGAUGGGUAGCUGGUCUGAGAGGACGAUCAGCCACACUGGAACUGAGACACGGUCCAGACUCCUACGGGAGGCAGCAGUGAGGAAUAUUGCGCAAUGUCCGAAAGGGUGACGCAGCGACGCCGCGUGAAGGAUGAAGGCCCUAUGGUCGUAAACUUCUUUUGCGAGGGAAGAAUCUCCUGCUAUAGGCAGGAUUGACUGUACCUCG
rnacentral:rRNA from 1 species